rnacentral:piRNA from 1 species
UAGGACACUAUCGUGCAGCGCCUAGAACC